ACGACCUUACUUGAACAGGAUCUGUUCUAUAGGAUCGUACCUCUGUGUCCCUGACUUCUAAGGAGACAGGAAUCUAAACCUGGUGGAUGAAUCAUGGCCAUGUGAUCAGAGCAUGAUUAACGGCUGGUGAUCACUGUGGUCGUAGAUGAUCGUUCUCAGUUGGGCUCCAUCCCUCCUGGGGUGGUCGCUUGGUUGUCUGACGGGUU